rnacentral:rRNA from 1 species
ACCGCUCAGAUUAAACGCUGGCGGCAUGCCUUACACAUGCAAGUCGAACGGCAGCACGGGGGCAACCCUGGUGGCGAGUGGCGGACGGGUGAGUAGUACAUCGGAACGUAUCGAGGAGUGGGGGAUAACGUAGCGAAAGUUACGCUAAUACCGCAUAUUCUGUGAGCAGGAAAGCAGGGGAUCGCAAGACCUUGCGCUCUCUGAGCGGCCGAUGUCGGAUUAGCUAGUUGGUGGGGUAAAGGCCUACCAAGGCGACGAUCCGUAGCGGGUCUGAGAGGAUGAUCCGCCACACUGGGACUGAGACACGGCCCAGACUCCUACGGGAGGCAGCAGUGGGGAAUUUUGGACAAUGGGCGGAAGCCUGAUCCAGCCAUGCCGCGUGAGUGAAGAAGGCCUUCGGGUUGUAAAGCUCUUUCGGCGGGGAAGAAAUUGCUUGGGAUAAUACCCUGAGUAGAUGACGGUACCCGAAUAAGAAGCACCGUCUAACUACGUGCCAGCAGCCGCGGUAAUACGUAGGGUGCGAGCGUUAAUCGGAAUUACUGGGCGUAAAGCGUGCGCAGGCGGUUUUGUAAGUCAGAUGUGAAAUCCCCGGGCUCAACCUGGGAACUGCAUUUGAGACUGCAAGGCUGGAGUUUGGCAGAGGGGGGUGGAAUUCCACGUGUAGCAGUGAAAUGCGUAGAGAUGUGGAGGAACACCGAUGGCGAAGGCAGCCCCCUGGGCCAAUACUGACGCUCAUGCACGAAAGCGUGGGUAGCAAACAGGAUUAGAUACCCUGGUAGUCCACGCCCUAAACGAUGUCAACUAGGUGUUGGGAGGGUUAAACCUUUUAGUGCCGUAGCUAACGCGUGAAGUUGACCGCCUGGGGAGUACGGCCGCAAGGCUAAAACUCAAAGGAAUUGACGGGGACCCGCACAAGCGGUGGAUGAUGUGGAUUAAUUCGAUGCAACGCGAAAAACCUUUCCUACCCUUGACAUGUCAGGAAUCCCGGAGAGAUUUGGGAGUGCUCGCAAGAGAACCUGAACACAGGUGCUGCAUGGCUGUCGUCAGCUCGUGUCGUGAGAUGUUGGGUUAAGUCCCGCAACGAGCGCAACCCUUGUCAUUAAUUGCCAUCAUUUGGUUGGGCACUUUAAUGAGACUGCCGGUGACAAACCGGAGGAAGGUGGGGAUGACGUCAAGUCCUCAUGGCCCUUAUGGGUAGGGCUUCACACGUCAUACAAUGGUCGGUCCAGAGGGUUGCCAACCCGCGAGGGGGAGCCAAUCUCAGAAAGCCGAUCGUAGUCCGGAUCGCAGUCUGCAACUCGACUGCGUGAAGUCGGAAUCGCUAGUAAUCGCGGAUCAGCAUGUCGCGGUGAAUACGUUCCCGGGUCUUGUACACACCGCCCGUCACACCAUGGGAGCGGGUUCUGCCAGAAGUAGUUAGCCUAACCGCAAGGAGGGCGAUUACCACGGCAGGGUUCGUGACUGGGGUGAAGUCGUAACAAGGUA